rnacentral:rRNA from 1 species
ACGAACGCUGGCGGCGUGCUUAACACCUGCAAGUCGAACGGAAAGGCCCUGCUUUUGUGGGGUGCUCGAGUGGCGAACGGGUGAGUAACACGUGAGUAACCUGCCCUUGACUUUGGGAUAACUUCAGGAAACUGGGGCUAAUACCGGAUAGGAGCUCCUGCUGCAUGGUGGGGGUUGGAAAGUUUCGGCGGUUGGGGAUGGACUCGCGGCUUAUCAGCUUGUUGGUGGGGUAGUGGCUUACCAAGGCUUUGACGGGUAGCCGGCCUGAGAGGGUGACCGGCCACAUUGGGACUGAGAUACGGCCCAGACUCCUACGGGAGGCAGCAGUGGGGAAUAUUGCACAAUGGGCGGAAGCCUGAUGCAGCAACGCCGCGUGCGGGAUGACGGCCUUCGGGUUGUAAACCGCUUUCGCCUGUGACGAAGCGUGAGUGACGGUAAUGGGUAAAGAAGCGCCGGCUAACUACGUG